rnacentral:misc_RNA from 1 species
GAUGAAGAACGCAGCGAAAUGCGAUAAGUAAUGUGAAUUGCAGAAUUCAGUGAAUCAUCGAAUCUUUGAACGCACAUUGCGCCCCUUGGUAUUCCGAGGGGCAUGCCUGUUCGAGCGUCAUUAUAACCCCUCAAGCUCAGCUUGGUGUUGGGGCCUGCUGCACUGGCAGCCCUUAAAAUCAGUGGCGGCGCCAUCUGGCUCUAAGCGUAGUAAUUCUUCUCGCUAUGGAGUCCUGGUGGAUGCUUGCCAUCAACCCCCAACUUUUCUAUGGUUGACCUCGGAUCAGGUAGGGAUACCCGCUGAACUUAAGCAUAUCAAUAAGCGGAGGA